UGUAGUAAUAUGGUACCUAAAUGUGGGAUUCUAAGUUAAGAUUUACAAGUUAAUAAACUUAAGGGGGGAAACAUGGUAAAUGCCAAACUAUUAGGUUAAUAGUGAGAAAAUCACAAAACCCACACACUGUAUGUGUGUGGAUCGACCAGGAACAAAGAAAAACAAGGGCUCACCCUUGUUCUCACCAAUUCGCCAAAUUGACAAGGGAAAAUCGAUGUUUACUAGUUGCAUGUAGUAGGAUUUCGAUCAUUUACCCAUACCCAAUCAAGUGGAACGUGUCAAGGAGAGGUCAAGCAUAGGAGGAUAACGGGUCAAGAUAAGGCAAGGUGACAAAUACACUUAUUGGAGUACUCGAGGUAAGUGAAUUUCGAUUCACUUUUUAGUAAGUUUAAUAGAUAUUAAUACUUAUGUUUACGAAACAUCAUGAAAGAACAUGUAAUAAUCAGAAGUACAAAGCCAAUAAUGCCUCAUUAUUGAAGAAGGUUGUAUUUAAGCCGAAAGUAAAUUGGUGGGUUUAAACGGGUCGAA